rnacentral:rRNA from 1 species
AUGCAUGCUUUUACAGUAUGAAAAUUGGUGAUUUAUAAUAACUUAGCAAAUCGCAAAGUGAAAACAGGCGAUAAAUCAUUCAAGUUUCUGACCUAUCAGCUUUCGACGGUAUGGUAUUGGCUUACCGUGGCAGUGACGGUUAACGGGGGAUUAGGGUUCGAUUCCGGAGAGGGAGCCUGAGAAACGGCUACCACAUCUAAGGAAGGCAGCAGGCGCGCAAAUUACCCAAUUCUAACAGUUUGAGAGAGGUAGUAACAAGAAAUAACAAUACAAGGCAGUUAAAAUGCUUUGUAAUUGGAAUGAUAGAAAUUUAAACCCUUUUUAAAGUAUCAAUUGGAGGGCAAGUCUGGUGCCAGCAGCCGCGGUAAUUCCAGCUCCAAUAGCGUAUAUUAAAAUUGUUGCAGUUAAAAAGCUCGUAGUUGAAGUUCUGCUAAAAGUAACCGGUCUGCUUUUAAUAAAGGUGGUAUCUUGGUGUGUAUUUAGCAAUGAUGUCCUUUGAAGUGUUUUUUACUUUAUUGUAAUAAAGCAUAUUCAGGACUUUUACUUUGAGAAAAUUAGAGUGUUUCUAGCAGGCUAACGCUUUGAAUACUGCAGCAUG